rnacentral:rRNA from 1 species
CGACCUGCCCGGUGACUUUAGAGUUAAACGGCUGCAGUACUCUGACUGUGCAAAGGUAGCAUAAUCAUUUGCCUAGUAAUUUUAGGCUAGAAUCAACGGUUAGACGAAGGAUAAGCUGUCUCCUUUUAAUUUAGCUGAAAUUAGCUUUAGGGUGAAGAGACCUUAAUAAGUAAGUGGGACGAGAAGACCCUAUUGAGCUUUAAUUUAAUUAAAAAUAAAGUUUUAAUAAAAGUUUGGAUUGGGGCAAUUCUUUUUAUAAUAAAACAAAAGUUAAGUACAAUGAAUUAAUACUACAAGACCCCGAACUUUUCGGAAAUAAGAAAAAGUUACCAUAGGGAUAACAGCGUUAUUUUUCUCGAGAGUACAUAUUGACAGAAAAGUUUGCGACCUCGAUGUUGGAUUAAGAUAACCUGGAUGUGCAGCAGCCUCCAA